rnacentral:lncRNA from 1 species
CCUGGGGAUGGGGAGAGCUGGCUGCUUGAAUGGAGUAGAGGGGUGACUGCCUCCACGAGAACAGAGGCAUUGCUGCUGUGAAACGGGCAGGGAAGAUGCUGCUGCUCUGAGGGGUGCUCCGAGGAACUGAAUCGGACUCGCCUCUCUCUUCUUGGGCUUUUACCCAACAGCUGCCUGAUCGAUCAGAAAAACCUAACGGCAGAUGUGUUGCCCGCGGUCCAUUUAGCCUUGAAACAUUUAUACAAGCAUAGAUGGAUGCUGAAGAACUAUGAACUCCAGGUACCAUCUCUUCACUGCUCUGAUACCAGCUGAUACCAUACCUUUAAAAACAUCUUUUUUUGAUGGAG